rnacentral:rRNA from 1 species
AGCAUGGUCUUAGCUUGCUAAGGCCGAUGGCGACCGGCGCACGGGUGAGUAACACGUAUCCACCCUGCCGUCUACUCUUGGACAGCCUUCUGAAAGGAAGAUUACUACAAGAUGGCAUCAUGAGUCCGCAUGUUCACAUGAUUAAAGGUAUUCCGGUAGACGAUGGGGAUGCGUUCCAUUAGAUAGUAGGCGGGGUAACGGCCCACCUAGUCUUCGAUGGAUAGGGGUUCUGAGAGGAAGGUCCCCCACAUUGGAACUGAGACACGGUCCAAACUCCUACGGGAGGCAGCAGUGAGGAAUAUUGGUCAAUGGGCGAGAGCCUGAACCAGCCAAGUAGCGUGAAGGAUGACUGCCCUAUGGGUUGUAAACUUCUUUUAUAAAGGAAUAAAGUCGGGUAUGGAUACCCGUUUGCAUGUACUUUAUGAAUAAGGAUCGGCUAACUCCGUGCCAGCAGCCGCGGUAAUACGGAGGAUCCGAGCGUUAUCCGGAUUUAUUGGGUUUAAAGGGAGCGUAGAUGGAUGUUUAAGUCAGUUGUGAAAGUUUGCGGCUCAACCGUAAAAUUGCAGUUGAUACUGGAUAUCUUGAGUGCAGUUGAGGCAGGCGGAAUUCGUGGUGUAGCGGUGAAAUGCUUAGAUAUCACGAAGAACUCCGAUUG